AGCGGCGGAUGGGUGAGUAACACGUGGGGAACCUGCCCCUAAGUCUGGGAUACCAUUUGGAAACAGGUGCUAAUACCGGAUAAUAAAGCAGAUCGCAUGAUCAGCUUUUGAAAGGCGGCGUAAGCUGUCGCUAAGGGAUGGCCCCGCGGUGCAUUAGCUAGUUGGUAAGGUAACGGCUUACCAAGGCGACGAUGCAUAGCCGAGUUGAGAGACUGAUCGGCCACAUUGGGGCUGAGACACGGCCCAAACUCCUACGGGAGGCAGCAGUAGGGAAUCUUCCACAAUGGACGCAAGUCUGAUGGAGCAACGCCGCGUGAGUGAAGAAGGUUUUCGGAUCGUAAAGCUCUGUUGUUGGUGAAGAAGGAUAGAGGUAGUAACUGGCCUUUAUUUGGCGGUAAUCAACCAGAAAGUCACGGCUAACUACGUGCCAGCAGCCGCGGUAAUACGUAGGUGGCAAGCGUUGUCCGGAUUUAUUGGGCGUAAAGCGAGCGCAGGCGGAAAAAUAAGUCUAAUGUGAAAGCCCUCGGCUUAACCGAGGAACCGCAUCGGAAACUGUUUUUCUUGAGUGCAGAAGAGGAGAGUGGAACUCCAUGUGUAGCGGAGGAAUGCGUAGAUAUAUGGAAGAACACCAGUGGCGAAAGGCGGCUCUCUGGUCUGCAACUGACGCUGAGGCUCGAAAGCAUGGGUAGCGAACAGGAUUAGAUACCCUGGUAGUCCAUGCCGUAACGAUGAGUGCUAAGUGU
rnacentral:rRNA from 1 species